rnacentral:sRNA from 1 species
UCUCUAAUGGCUAACGAAGAACUCACUGAGUCAC